rnacentral:lncRNA from 1 species
GAGGAGUCCCAGGUGGCCCCAGAAGAAGAAGCCUCUGAACAAAGAAGACAAUGCUUGGGUUAUGGUGGAGGGGACAUGGAAGGUUAUGGGUUCUUCUGGAGUCUUCUGAACCUGCCGGGCAUUUCUGACUGGAUGAAAAUUAACAAAAGUCCAUGGUCAAACUGAUGAAAAUUAGCAGCAGUUCAUCUUAAUUUAAUUGCCA